rnacentral:rRNA from 1 species
GGUGAACGCUGGCGGCGUGCUUAAGACAUGCAAGUCGAACGCAGUCUUCGGACUGAGUGGCGCACGGGUGAGUAACACGUAACUGACCUACCCCCAAGUCGCGGAUAACUGGCCGAAAGGUCAGCUAAUACGUGAUGUGAUGUCCCCUUUCUGGGGGGCCAUUAAAGGUUUACUGCUUGGGGAUGGGGUUGCGUUCCAUCAGCUAGUUGGCGGGGUAAAGGCACACCAAGGCAACGACGGAUAGCGGGCCUGAGAGGGUGGCCGGCCACAGGGGAACUGAGACACGGGUCCCACUCCUACGGGAGGCAGCAGUUAGGAAUCUUCCACAAUGGGCGAGAGCCUGAUGGAGCGACGCCGCGUGAGGGAUGAAGGUUCUCGGAUCGUAAACCUCUGAAUCAGGGACGAAAGACGCGUAAGCGGGAUGACGGUACCUGAGUAAUAGCACCGGCUAACUCCGUGCCAGCCGCCGCGGUAA